AUUGAACGCUGGCGGAAUGCUUUACACAUGCAAGUCGAACGGUAGAGGGGGCAACCCCUUGAGAGUGGCGAACGGGUGAGUAAUAUAUCGGAACGUGCCCAGUCGUGGGGAUAACGUAGCGAAAGCUACGCUAAUACCGCAUACGAUCUAUGGAUGAAAGCGGGGGAUCGCAAGACCUCGCGCGAUUGGAGCGGCCGAUAUCAGAUUAGGUAGUUGGUGAGGUAAAGGCUCACCAAGCCGACGAUCUGUAGCUGGUCUGAGAGGACGACCAGCCACACUGGACUGAGACACGGCCCAGACUCCUACGGGAGGCAGCAGUGGGGAAUUUUUGGACAAUGGGCGCAAGCCUGAUCCAGCAAUGCCGCGUGCAGGAUGAAGGCCUCGGUUGUAAC
rnacentral:rRNA from 1 species